rnacentral:rRNA from 1 species
UACGUAGGGUGCAAGCGUUAUCCGGAAUUAUUGGGCGUAAAGAGCUCGUAGGCGGUUUGUCGCGUCUGCUGUGAAAACUCGAGGCUCAACCUCGAGCUGUCGGUGGAAACCGUGUGGCUAGAGUCCGGAAGAGGAGAGUGGAAUUCCCGGUGUAGCGGUGAAAUGCGCAGAUAUCGGGAAGAACACCCGUGGCGAAGGCGGCUCUCUGGGACGGUACUGGACGCUGAGACGCGAAAGCGUGGGGAGCGAACAGG